GAUGAACGCUGGCGGCGUGCUUAACACAUGCAAGUCGAACGAUGAAGCCCAGCUUGCUGGGUGGAUUAGUGGCGAACGGGUGAGUAACACGUGAGUAACCUGCCCUUAACUCUGGGAUAAGCCUGGGCAACUGGGUCUAAUACCGGAUAGGAGCGUCCACCGCAUGGUGGGUGUUGGAGAGCUUUAUCGGUUUUGGAUGGACGCGCGGCCUAUCAGCUUGUUGGUGAGGUAAUGGCUCACCAAGGCGACGACGGGUAGCCGGCCUGAGAGGGUGACCGGCCACCCGGGUACUGAGACACGGCCCAGACUGCUACGGGAGGCAGCAGUGGGGAAUAUUGCACAAUGGGCGCAAGCCUGAUGCAGCGACGCCGCGUGAGGGAUGACGGCCUUCGGGUUGUAAACCUCUUUCAGUAGGGAAGAAGCGAAAGUGACGGUACCUGCAGAAGAAGCACCGGCUAACUACGUG
rnacentral:rRNA from 1 species